GAUGAACGCUGGCGGCGUGCCUAAUACAUGCAAGUCGAGCGAACAGACGAGGAGCUUGCUCCUCUGACGUUAGCGGCGGACGGGUGAGUAACACGUGGAUAACCUACCUAUAAGACUGGGAUAACUUCGGGAAACCGGAGCUAAUACCGGAUAAUAUAUUGAACCGCAUGGUUCAAUAGUGAAAGACGGUUUUGCUGUCACUUCUAGAUGGUUCCGCGCCGCAUUAGCUAGUUGGUAAGGUAACGGCUUACCAAGGCAACGAUGCGUAGCCGACCUGAGAGGGUGAUCGGCCACACUGGAACUGAGACACGGUCCAGACUCCUACGGGAGGCAGCAGUAGGGAAUCUUCCGCAAUGGGCGAAAGCUUGACGGAGCAACGCCGCGUGAGUGAUGAAGGUCUUCGGAUCGUAAAACUCUGUUAUUAGGGAAGAACAAAUGUGUAAGUAACUAUGCACGUCUUGACGGUACCUAAUCAGAAAGCCACGGCUAACUACGUG
rnacentral:rRNA from 1 species